AAAUACAACGACGGUAAAAAUAGUAAAUUUUAGCUAGAAAAAGGUAAUUUUUAUUCGGGUAUUAUUUUUCGGGGUGUUUUAUUUUGGAAGUUUGGGUUAUAAAUGGUGUGGACCGGUUUGGGGUGUGAGGCCCAAACCCUUUUUCUUUUCUCUCUCCCUCCCUCCCGAUUUUUCUUCUCCUCCCACCCGAUUUUCUUCUCUCUACACCCACCGGUAUUCCGGCCGUCCUCCCGCCGCCGUCCGACCUCCGUUCGCCACCGGACCGGUCCCGUUCGGUCGGUCUCCCUCCCAGCAACAUUUCUAGACCGGUGAGAGGAGCCCUAGCGCCGCCGUGAGUGAGCGGUGCCGCCCGAAAGCUUCGACUGCCGAAUUGGUUUUUUCGCCGGAACUUCCUCCUCCGGCCACCAAUCCGGGCAAGCUUGGUAUGGUUUUGUAGCCCUCCAACCCAGCAACCUUGCCCUAAAAGGACUCACUCCCUCUUGAGCUAGGUAAGGAGAAAUUUGAGGUGGAAGUUUUAUGGUGUUUUUGAUGUUUUUAAUCGAUUGCCCUAGUUAGGCUUGGAAUUGGUGUUUGUGCUAGUUAUGAAAGUUGUAGAGCUUGAUGAGAGGAAGAUGCUGUUAAAAUUUCAUAGGUUUUGGAGGUCGCCGGAAUUGACCUCCGGCCGCCGCUGCCGGCGGAGCCGCCGGCGGCGCCGCCGCCGGUUGGGAGAUUUUAAUGUUGUUAAAUUUGGAAUAUUAAGGGGAGUUUAUUGAAGUGAGUUAUGGAAUUUUUGGAUGAGUUUUGGAUAGGUUUAUGAAUUUCCGAAGUGUGGUAUUUUUGGCGGGUAAUUAAUGUAGAAUCCGGCCGUUGGAUUUAAGUCGUAUUUUAGAGAGGUUGUAUUUACGACUGUGGAGUAUGAUAUUUAAGUUCGGAUCGUCCGAUGUAAGAAUAUCGAAGUUAGGCAAUGAUGAGCGUAAUUAUGGCUCUCGGGUAAUUUUGCCUAUUUUGAUUAAAUAUUGGAU
rnacentral:lncRNA from 1 species